rnacentral:rRNA from 1 species
CAGUAGCCACGGUAGUACGUAGGUGGCAAGCGUUGUCCGGAAUUAUUGGGCGUAAAGGGCUCGCAGGCGGUUUCUUAAGUCUGAUGUGAAAGCCCCCGGCUCAACCGGGGAGGGUCAUUGGAAACUGGGAAACUUGAGUGCAGAAGAGGAGAGUGGAAUUCCACGUGUAGCGGUGAAAUGCGUAGAGAUGUGGAGGAACACCAGUGGCGAAGGCGACUCUCUGGUCUGUAGCUGACGCUGAGGAGCGAAAGCGUGGGGAGCGAACAGGAUUAGAUACCCCCGUAGUCCCUGUCUCUUAUAC